rnacentral:lncRNA from 1 species
AGUUUGGACACAGACACACCCUCCCAAAGAACAAGAUCUGCAGCUUUUCCUUUACUGCUCAAGUGGAUUCUCCAGGCCAAGUGGAAUCCGCAACUGUGGCCCCGAGCCCUCCCCAGCCAGCUCCACAAGUCAAAGCUCUAAUUCACUCUGAAAGGGCUUCAGCACCACCCCUGUGAGGUCCUUAAAUGUUUUAUGAGCUCCCUGAAAUGCUCAGAUAAUUAAAAACACUUUCUUAACUUAAUAGCUUGACUUAGUGAAACCAGGACUUUAUGUUUUAUUUGGAAAGGGGUGAACAUCCCAGUCAUACUUAUUAAUAUUUUUAAGAGUAUGCCCAAUUGUGUCCAGGGAUGGAGGGAAAUCAUUGCUUCAAGGAGGGAAAUGGGCUUUCCUGAGUUUCUGACAAGUCUUGGGCUUAUUAGAGCUCAUUACAUCCAGGAAGCCUGAAAACCUAAAUUAGCAAUCACCACAUAUGACGUGGCAGGCUAUUAUUAAGAAGGCCACUUAUUGUAGAAACAUGGAAUUCUCAAUUAAAAAGUAGUCCACCUA